UGCUGCUGCUGCUACUGCUGCUGCUGCCGCUUUGAUUGCUUUGCAGAAUACCUUUACGAUAUUCGCCUUUAGUGGUACUUCGCGCUUCUUUCAUGCUGGUUCGUUCGAUCGUUCGUUCGUUGUUCAGUUAAACGACAAAACGACGCGUUAACGACGCGCACCACGACGAUCAACAACAGUACAAUACGUUCGUUUAGCGGCGGCGACGACGGCAUAGAGACACACAACAAGCAGCAUGCAAUACAAAACAGUUAUAUCAACAUUGUGAGCCGAUCAACAACGUAAUGCAAUCACGGCGUAGUGCAAAAAUUGCGUAAAAGCGAAAACGUUAUAAAAAA